AUGCAGUCGACGGAACGACAGGAGCUUGCUCCUGGGCGUCGAGUGGCGGACGGGUGAGUAAUGCAUAGGAAUCUGCCCAUGUAGUGGGGGACAACCUGGGGAAACUCAGGCUAAUACCGCAUGAGCCCUUCGGGGGAAAGCAGGGGAUCUUCGGACCUUGCGCUAUUGGAUGAGCCUAUGUCUGAUUAGCUUGUUGGUGGGGUAACGGCCUACCAAGGCGACGAUCAGUAGCUGGUCUGAGAGGACGAUCAGCCACACUGGGACUGAGACACGGCCCAGACUCCUACGGGAGGCAGCAGUGGGGAAUAUUGGACAAUGGGCGAAAGCCUGAUCCAGCAAUGCCGCGUGUGUGAAGAAGGCCUGCGGGUUGUAAAGCACUUUCAAUUGGGAAGAAAAGCGAAGGGCUAAUACCCCUUUGUCUUGACGUUACCUUUAGAAGAAGCACCGGCUAACUCCGUGCCAGCAGCCGCGGUAAUACG
rnacentral:rRNA from 1 species